rnacentral:tRNA from 1 species
CGGGUAUAGCUUAAUGGCAAAGCUCCAGCCUUCCAAGCUGGCCAUGCGGGUUCGAUUCCCGCUACCC